UCCAGAAAAAAAAAACUUUUCUUGUUUGUCUUAUCAUCUUCUCGAAUCUGGCUUUUCAAAAUCAGGGAAAUCAGAAGUCAAUUGCUAUGAUUCUUCUUUGUUUUAAUCAGAAAUGAUAGAUUAUAAAAUUUUACAUUUAGAGGGAAGCUGCUAUCUCCAAAAUUCCAUAUCGUGGGUGAACUAUUCUGAAAUCGAUUCCGUUCCUGAUCAGCGAAUUUGGAAACAUAUCCGUGGAGAUUUGAGGCUAAAAAUAAAGUCAGCCAUUGAUUACAUAUUAUCAGAUAUGGACAGCCAUCGAGGAUUUGAGCUAAUAUGAUGUGUUCGAGAGAUGGGAGUCGCUUGAGGAUUAAGCUAAUACGCGGUGCAGGCAAUAUUCACGUUUAUGUUCUAUAAACAUGAAAAACACACCAUUGAGAAAGCUAAGUACAAUUCACCUUUACAGAUAUCUUUCAUUUAAGGCAGUUGUACUCAUAGUGUUAUUGAAUAAUGGUUUACUUUGUAGGUUUGUUGAAAUUCUAAGCAAUAAUUAAUAAAAGUGUCUGAUACAGUAUAUAUCUAUAUAUCUAUUUGAGAAGUUCAUACAUGUAACAAACUAUUUGCUACCAGGACUAAUUGUCUUCCAGGUAAGUUUAUUGAGGUUAGUAUCUAUAGAUUCUUCAUUCACUAAAAUUAUAUUAACAUAUUUGAGUGUUUUCACUGCCUUAAAUCAUGGAAAUUAAAGUGAUUUGCAAACAGUAUUAUAACUUGGCUCUCAAACAAAAUGAAAUAAAUUGUGUUUAACGGUCAACAUAAUUGUAGUAAACUGCGUAUUGAAUAUGUGUUUUGAAAAAAUUAAAAAAUUACAAUAACCAAAAUAUUGAUUCAUAUUAGUCGUGACUGUCGAUUAUGAUAUGCUUCAUUCAUGGGAGGUGAAUCAGUGGCCUUAUGGAGAAUGAGGCACGUGCAUUUUGAAUAAAACAUAACAAUUAUAUGAAAACUAUUAAACUUAAAUGUUUCCAACCUAGAAAUUAAGUACCUACUAAUAUAAUAAGGUGGGUCAAGUUUACCUUCGGAGAGGUAGCUGACUCAGUGUAUGUUUUGGAAAACCUCCUUGAAAACAACAUUAAGAAGCCUAUUGACAUACUUGCAAACCAAGUCCUUCUUCACUGAUGCAUGAAUCUUUUUACUCUGAAAUAAUGAAACAUAAAGAUGCAUUAGUAAUAUCAAGUCGUGUAUGGCGUAAAAGUAAGCAUUUAGUUUUACCAUUGAAUCCGACAAAACCAACUCUAGCGUUUCACCGGUGAGUUGGGUAUAUUGACGCCAUGAAUGGAUGACCUUCACUUGGACCCUCCAUGCGGUUUUGUAGGGUCGAACAUCUUUCAAAAAGACAAAAGUAGCCGCCAUAGAGAAUUAAAAUAGAGAGAAUGUGUAAGAGUUAGUUUGAUUGCUUAUGCAGAGUGGAGUUUUAGGUUAGUAUUAUUUAUAGGGAUAUGAUUAGGUCGACCAACACGUUUGUUACGAUACAAAAAAGAUCCGAUUUUAGCGAAUAAUUAAAGAGAUCAUAACGAUCUUUGUUUUUAAUGGUAUGUUUAUGUGAUAGAAAAUAUUCUGAUAUUUAAUUCUGUUUUGCUUGAUUGAUUUAUAGGAUACGCAUUCAGUGGAAGAAAAUAUUUGGAAAUCAAAAACUUGGAACACAAGUCUCGCUGAUCCUUCGGAAGGCAAUGAAAUAUCUAUUUAUUGUGUAUUAGAUUAUUGAAUAGAAACAAUUGGCGGUGAAAAUAAUUGUGGGUUAGGAAUAGGUAGAACUGAAAUGGGCUUGGACCUUGAUUUGUUAAUGUUUAUUUUCAAAAAUGUAUAUAUAGAUAUAGA